UCACAUCUAUACAAAAACAUUUUAUUAAUUGAAGUAUGUUUUUUUUUUUUUUAAAUUUCCCCACCAAUUAUUUCCCGAUCAGGAAUGUCCUCAAUGCUUCUGACAUACAUAUACUUGUUAGUCAAGUCAGGAAACUCAUCGUUGCCUUCAGAAUUAUCUAUACUGACCUGCUCUCUAUACUGAUCUCUAUACUGAUCGCUGCUCAAUUGGAAUUCAUAAAGAUAUGAAAAAGUUGCUGGGUUUCGUAAUCGCUGUCAGCGUUCAUCAAUUUCAUGAAAGCGAUAUUCUAUCUGCUACUGGAGUCGUUUUUGGACCAAUUGAAAAACAUAACAAUCUUUUAACUGCCAUGGAACGACGAUCCCUAAGGUUUCCUGGAAAGAUUGCUGUGAAAUUAAAAAUGCCAUAUUCAACUAUGCCUGCACCAGUUUUUUUUUUAAUAUUUCAAUUACCUAAUUUAUAAUUGAAAUAUUACUUAAAAUUUCAGGUAGUUCUGUCAAAUAGUGUACAAGCUAUAAAUUUUGAAACAAUGGCUGCUCCGUCAACGCCAACGUGUGUUACCGAUCUAACUACGCUUUCUACCUCUAUGCAGUCGGAACUGACCCAGCAAAACAGAAAUAUGCCUAACACACUCACUGCGACAUCCGUCGUACGAUUUUACAGUGUCAGUGCUGAUGUGACUGAUGCUCAUUUAGCUGACUUUUGUUCUCAAUGUGGUCCAGUCGAUCACAUUGAGAGACUAACGUCUAAAGAAGGAAAAAAGACUGUAUUCGUCGAGCUCACUGUGAAACGUGCCGUUGCGGAGUCAUUCGUGAAGAGAUUUGAAAAAGGCUGCCGAAUCAACCACAUAAAUUGCGUUAUACAAAUGUCAAGUUGUAAUACCAUAUUCAGGAAAACUGAGAAGGCUAAGGAAAAACAUUUUAAUUACAUGUUAUGUAAUUAAUUAAAAUUAUUUGUAUAUUUAUAGGCCGAUAUGGUUGCUUACAAAGCGUCCAAGAAGAGUGUCUCAGGGCACUGUGGAGAAGAAAAUGACUCUCUAAGAGUCAAUUUCUGUCUGGUGGAGCACUGUGAACACAGACAUUUUUACCUUCAAACACGAAAGAGAUUUGUUUGUGGCUGAAUUGGACAGGAAAAUUAUUGCUUUAAAUAUGUUAGCUUAUCCAAUGUUUCCUCCGACAUUUGAGAAACAUGAGCAUGCUUUGUUACUAUUGAAUCUACUAUUUGAGAAGAUGUCCUUAAACGCAGUACCAAACUCAACUGUCGAAAAUGAAGAUAGCGAUCGAUGUGGUAGUUGCAGGAAGUAUUUUUGUUAAACCUGUUGAAACACACACACUGACCACUGCAAUGCAGUUAUUUGGUUUCAGUAUUUUGAAUCCACAGCAAGUUGAAGUAAUCGACCCAGCUUUGACCAAACUAGAUUGCCUCGUCGAAAUGUCAACCGGUUUUCUUCUACCGGGAUUGUUUGAGCGUGGAGUGACGUUUGUCGUUUCCCCUUUGAAAUCUUUGAUGUUUGAUCAAGUCAACUAUUUGAAAAGUCUAGGGAUAAAGGCCAGUUUUGAUUGCGUUGAAAACGAUGCAAAUGCUACUGAAUUUUUCACGUCUCUGACGCAACAUUAAUAUUUUUAUUUACUAUAUUUAAAAAU